rnacentral:tRNA from 1 species
GCCUGGAAAACUCAGACGGUAGAGCAUCAGACUUUUAAUCUGAGGGUCCAGGGUUCAAGUCCCUGUUCAGGCG